rnacentral:misc_RNA from 1 species
AAUUCUCAACCUUCCAGCUUUUAUCAGCUUGGUUUAGGCUUGGAUGUGGGGGUUGCAGGCUUCACUUUUUAGGUCAGCUCUCCUUAAAUGCAUUAGCGGAACUUUUGUGGACCGUCUAUUGGUGUGAUAAUUAUCUACGCCGUGGAUGUGAAGCAGCUUUAUAAAGUUCAGCUUCUAACUGUCCAUUGACUUGGACAAUUUUGACA